rnacentral:hammerhead_ribozyme from 1 species
AUUAAGCUGACGAGUCCCAAAUAAGACGAAGCGUGGGUCCUGGAU